ACUCUUAUAGCUUAAUUAAUUAGAGCAGCUUAGUGAAGUUAAGCAGGAAAUUUAUAUUUAGGGGUA
rnacentral:tRNA from 1 species